rnacentral:rRNA from 1 species
CCCAGACUCCUACGGGAGGCAGCAGUGGGGAAUAUUGCACAAUGGGGGAAACCCUGAUGCAGCGACGCCGCGUGAGUGAAGAAGUAUUUCGGUAUGUAAAGCUCUAUCAGCAGGGAAGAAAAUGACGGUACCUGACUAAGAAGCCCCGGCUAACUACGUGCCAGCAGCCGCGGUAAUACGUAGGGGGCAAGCGUUAUCCGGAUUUACUGGGUGUAAAGGGAGCGUAGGUGGCAUGGUAAGCCAGAAGUGAAAACCCGGGGCUCAACCCCGCGGAUUGCUUUUGGAACUAUCAGGCUGGAGUGCUGGAGGGGUAAGCGGAAUUCCUAGUGUAGCGGUGAAAUGCGUAGAUAUUAGGAGGAACACCGGUGGCGAAGGCGGCUUACUGGACAGAAACUGACGUUGAGGCUCAAAAGCGUGGGGAGCAAACAGGAUUAGAUACCCGUGUAU